CCUACGUUCCUGGAUCCGGAGCCUCAUUGCUCUUACCUUUCGUGAGCCUCAACCUCUUUGCCGUCAAAUUGUUGUUGUUUGACGUUCCUGGAUCCUUCUUACGUUCCUGCUUCCUUCCUAUGUUCCUGGAUCCUGAGCCUCAUUGCUCUUACCUUUCGUGAGCCUCAACCUCUUCGCCUCAUUGUUUGACGUUCCUGGAUCCGUCAUACGUUCCUGCUUCCUUCCUACGUUCCUGGAUCCGGAGCCUCAUUGCUCUUACCUUUCGUGAGCCUCAACCUCUU